CAGAAAUAUUGUCAAGAUUAAUCAACCUCAGACUGCCCGAGUAGAGGUCCAUCCACUGGCAAUGAUGUACAUCAAGGAAAUGCAUACAGCAAUGUUAACAAAACCCUUAAUUCAGAUGAGGAUGUUAAGACAUCUAAGCCUAAUCAUCAGGAAUUGCAACUCAACUUGCAGAAAAAUAAUCAACACUGGAAACA